rnacentral:rRNA from 1 species
CCCUUAGAUGUUCUGGGCAGCACGCGCGCUACAAUGGUCUUCGCAAACGGAUGCAUUCUCGAAGGAGAAUGCCAAUCUUGGAAUCUAUGCCUUGGUCGGGACGGUUGCUUGCAAUUUUUCGACUCGAACCAGGAAUUCCUUGUAAUCGUGAUUCAUCACAUCACGAUGAAUACGUCCCUGCCCUUUGUACACACCGCCCGUCGCUCCUACCGAUCGAAGAGUUAGGUGAAUUGUUUUGAUCGAUAAGAUUUGACUAUGGUCAACUCUCGUUGGGAAAUUCUGUGAAUCUGACUGUUUAGAGGAAGGAAAAGUCGUAACA